rnacentral:rRNA from 1 species
UACGGAGGGGACUAGCGUUGUUCGGAAUUACUGGGCGUAAAGCGCACGUAGGCGGAUUUGUAAGUUAGAGGUGAAAGCCCGGGGCUCAACUCCGGAAUUGCCUUUAAGACUGCAUCGCUUGAAUCCGGGAGAGGUGAGUGGAAUUCCGAGUGUAGAGGUGAAAUUCGUAGAUAUUCGGAAGAACACCAGUGGCGAAGGCGGCUCACUGGACCGGUACUGACGCUGAGGUGCGAAAGCGUGGGGAGCAAACAGG